AUUGAACGCUGGCGGCAUGCCUAACACAUGCAAGUCGAACGGUAACAGGUCUUCGGAUGCUGACGAGUGGCGAACGGGGGCGGAAUACAUCGGAACGUGCCCGAUCGUGGGGGAUAACGAGGGGUAAGGUAUGCUAAUACAGCAUACGAUCUCAGGCUGAAAGCGGGGGAACUUCGGACAUCGCGCGACCGGAGCGGACGAUGGCAGAUUAGGUAGGUGGUGGGAUAAAAGCGUACCAAGCCGACGAUCUGUAGCUGGUCUGAGAGGAUGAUCAGCCACACUGGGACUGAGACACGGCCCAGACUCCUACGGGAGGCAGCAGUGGGGAAUUUUGGACAAUGGGCGAAAGCCUGAUCCAGCCAUGCCGCGUGCAGGAUGAAGGCCUUCGGGUUGUAAACUGCUUUUGUACGGAACGAAAAGCCUCUUUCUAAUAAAGAGGGGUCAUGACGGUACCGUAAGAAUAAGCACCGGCUAACUACGUG
rnacentral:rRNA from 1 species